CUGCCAUAUUUCGUUAUCAUAUCAUGAAUAAACAUUUAAUAACCAAAAAGAGAAUCAAUGCAUAAUAUAAUCAAACAAUUUAGAUGAAUUUGAUGCAGAUAAUUUGCCAGCUUGAACCAAUGUCGUCGAACAGCCUUUAUUCUAUCCGACAAUAAUAAUAUAAACUGAAAGCUGGCCAGCUUUUUGUGGCAAAGCAACUUGCCCGUUCGGGCAACCAAGAGGAAACUUUUACUUGCCCGUCAUGAUAUUCACUUGCCCCGGGCAAG
rnacentral:lncRNA from 1 species